rnacentral:rRNA from 1 species
AUUGAACGCUGGCGGCAGGCCUAACACAUGCAAGUCGAGCGAGCGGCGGACGGGGGCGGAAUGUAUGGGGGCUGCCCGAUAGAGGGGGAUAGCUACUGGAAAAGGGAGCUAAUACCGCAUACUAUAGGAUAACCCCUAUGGGAUUAGCUAGUAGGUGAGGUAAUGGAUGACCUAGGCGCCGAUCCCUAGCUGGUCUGAGAGGAUGUUCAGCCACACUGGGACUGAGACACGGCCCAGACUCCUACGGAGGCAUCAGUGGGGAAUAUUGCACGAUGGGCGCAAGCCUGAUGCAGCCAUGCCGCGUGUAUGAAGAAGGCCCUAGGGUUGUAAAGUACUUUCAGUCGGGAGGCGUUACCGACAGAAGAAGCACCGGCUAACUCCGUGCCAGCAGCCGCGGUAAUUC